UACGUAGGGCGCAAGCGUUGUCCGGAAUUACUGGGCGUAAAGGGCUCGUAGGCGGCCAACUAAGUCGGACGUGAAAUCCCUCAGCUUAACUGGGGAACUGCGUCCGAUACUGGAUGGCUUGGAUUUGGGAGAGGGAUGCGGAAUUCCAGGUGUAGCGGUGAAAUGCGUAGAUAUCUGGAGGAACACCGGUGGCGAAGGCGGCAUCCUGGACCAAUAUUGACGCUGAGGAGCGAAAGCUAGGGGAGCAAACGGG
rnacentral:rRNA from 1 species